AGAUGCACGGGGGAUCGCUCCUCCACAAGCGUGCAUGCCCAAAGUGAUGAACCAUCUCACAUUUAUACAAUAAAACAAAUGAAUAUUCAAUUAACGCCUAUACAUAUUCCUUACCUAAACCCGCUUACUCUCGCUUCGUAUGUUAAUUAGCUUAUCAGUCCUUUGCCUGGAAUGUGGUGGUCUUGCAGGUGAUUCAUGUCCUUGUGACCAUCCGAUCUUCUCCAGCAAGGAGACUUAGCACUCCCUCCCUCUAGAUAGCAUUGGAAUAUCUCUCAUCCUUUUCUCAUUCUUUUUUAAAUAGCCCCUUUGACAAGGCCUCAAGGACAAGAGUCCAAGUACUGAUAGCCUGAUGAAUAGAGACUUGUUAGAACUUGUAGGGCACAAGCCCUGGGAGCAAAGGAACAAGCUAACUGCAGGCCCCUGAGCCGGCACAGUUAAGGAGGCAACCAGACGGACAGAGAAACGAGUAGCCAGAUAAGGGAACAGAUGGCGCCAAUAUGUAAUUAAGAAAGCCGCGUAGAAAGAAACUCCCUAACCUUGGAAUAAAAAUUAUUGCUAGGUCAAGAUAAACUAGUAAGUAUCUAUUGUUCUAACGGUGUGCCUUAAAAAUUAACCAAUUAGUGUUUUUUACGCUUAAGAUUUAACCAAUCAGUGUGUAAUAUGUAGAAGGUGGAAACAUAUAUAAUUGUAAGAAAAUCACUAAUAAAUGGACAUUUGCUUGCAUCAAGCUGCGUCCCGUCUCUUCAUUCGCCGCAAAUUGGUGACCCCGACGUGAUACGUUUAAGGAUCUAACGUGAAGGGCUCUCGAAUCGCCUAUCUGAGCGACAUGCAGCGAAUCCCACAGAACUUUGAAUGAUCUGCUGAAAGGAAGCAGGAGCUGGCUGGCCAUAAAUCCCUCCGGAGUUGAGAGGUGAGCUGUGGGAAAUCUGUAACGGGGAAUCAGGCUUCAUCCCCAGAAAGAGAC